rnacentral:lncRNA from 1 species
UGCAUUAGCCUGAUCUCCUCAAGAGAGAGGUGGUCUAGCUAGCCAAGAAGUUCUAAAAUUAAUUCCCAGCUAAUUUGUUGGGAGCAAUGCUACAUAAUUCUAGGGAUAAAUCAUUUGGUUAGCCUAGUUCUCUUGCCUAUAGCCCAGCUACAGAAUAACUCCAGUUUGGCCUCCGGUCACAACUGAGACUUCAGUGAUCCAGUGAUGCUGUGAUUCUCCAGGACAAGAAACAUCCUGGGAGAACAAACAUCUGCUCAGUUCCUCAUUGUUCUUGGACUGAUUAACAUCUUGUUUGCCGGAGAUGUACUGAACUCUCUGCAAGCCUUCCGUUACACCUUGUUUAUCCCAAUGUGAACUGUUGAACUCUCUGCAAGUCAUUUGUUACAUUUGUUUCUCCCGAUGUACUGAAUAAAAGGUGUGGUAAGCUGGGGGCUUUUGUCUUUGCUACCCAGAGCAGCACUGAUCAGACCCAAAGCUCAGCUUCUUCUCAGUCUCAUUUUUCUACCUUUCCUGUAAUUCGCCGUGUGCUGCCGUGGCUCGCAGGAGACCAGGACUAACUGCAGAGGUUCUGGUAACGUCCCCUUCUCCUGUCCCCUACACUAAUUGGAAUUAAAAACACUUAGGGAAGGUUCUUAACUUAGAUGUUUGUCCUAGCAAAGAUUUGUCAGUGUCUAAAGAGUUAUUGUUUUUAUCUGUGCUAGGUCCCAUGAAUGUGUCAGGAUAUAUCUGAAGAAGGGAUAUGCCCUAGUAACAGAGAGAGAAAAGUCCAAACCCAUAGCUCUCAACUCUAAUGAAGGCUUAAGAGAAGGCUGUAAUGGUGUCGUCUCAGGUCAUUCUGGGACAGAGGAAUCCAGAAGAUCACUGAGAGAGUUACCUCUCAUCUCACUGAGGAGUGCAAAGACCAAGGAAUUUAGGACUGACGUCCUUCCCAGCCUGAAAUGACACCGUUACACAGCUGGGACUGAUUGAGAUGCCCAAAGAGUGGGAGAGAGGGGGGCUGAGUCACAUGAGCUAAGUGUCCUGAGGCAACUGACUCAACAAAAGAGAAUAAGCCGAGAGAGCUCUAGCUCAAAUAGUUUUAUUCACUAUAUUCUAAAAUACUUAUGCAACAUAUUUGUAUGUUGUCUAAUAUAUA